GAUUUAAAGAAAAUCAUGGCAAAUAAUGUACUUGGCACCGCACUUGGAACACAGUAAGUGAUCAUGAACUAGCUUGGUGUGUGUGGCAUGAUAAGCAGGCAGCCACUGUUGGGAUGUCAAACUUAUGUGGACAAGUGGCAAAAACUCAGCGAGUCCGACUUUCCACUGUCAGGCGUCCUCAUCACAGACGUCCACACAUCAGGAUCCCUGCGGAGUCUGUUGCUGACUGUAGACGCUUGGGCCCCACUCUUGGGGAUUUUUAUCCUGGCCUGGGGCCUUGCCAUGGAGGGCUGGGAGCAGAGGCCUGGCCUGGCCUGGGCGGCCUCCAGGGUGCACCACCUGGCACCGCAGCCACGGCCACGUGAGGCUAUUAGGCAGCCACAGGGAAGGCAGCCCCAGGGGGCCUGCUCCCAGAACUCUGCCUCCAGUAGCGGUGAUGGACUACAGCAACCAUCCUCACUCUCUGCCCAAUGUCUCCAGGUGACCAAGGAGGCCAGCAACUCAAGAACUCACCCCCAUGGGGUUAGGGAGCACCCAAAGCAAAGCUAGAAGGCAUGAAGCUGACCACCUACUAAGCAC
rnacentral:lncRNA from 1 species